CCUACGGGAGGCAGCAGUAGGGAAUCUUCCGCAAUGGACGAAAGUCUGACGGAGCAACGCCGCGUGAACGAAGAAGGCCUUCGGGUCGUAAAGUUCUGUUGUUAGGGAAGAACAAGUACCAGAGUAACUGCUGGUACCUUGACGGUACCUAACCAGAAAGCCACGGCUAACUACGUGCCAGCAGCCGCGGUAAUACGUAGGUGGCAAGCGUUGUCCGGAAUUAUUGGGCGUAAAGCGCGCGCAGGUGGUUCCUUAAGUCUGAUGUGAAAGCCCACGGCUCAACCGUGGAGGGUCAUUGGAAACUGGGGAACUUGAGUGCAGAAGAGGAAAGUGGAAUUCCAAGUGUAGCGGUGAAAUGCGUAGAGAUUUGGAGGAACACCAGUGGCGAAGGCGACUUUCUGGUCUGUAACUGACACUGAGGCGCGAAAGCGUGGGGAGCAAACAGGAUUAGAUACCCUGGUAGUCCACGCCGUAAACGAUGAGUGCUAAGUGUUAGAGGGUUUCCGCCCUUUAGUGCUGCAGCUAACGCAUUAAGCACUCCGCCUGGGGAUACGGCCGCAAGGCUGAAACUCAAAGGAAUUGACGGCUGAGACCGNGCGAGCGACACGAGGAGAG
rnacentral:rRNA from 1 species